rnacentral:rRNA from 1 species
AGUGGCGGMCGGGUGAGUAAUGCUUGGGGAUCUGGCUUAUGGAGGGGGAUAACGACGGGAAACUGUCGCUAAUACCGCGUAGAAUCGGGAGAUGAAAGUGUGGGACCUUCGGGCCACAUGCCAUAGGAUGAACCCAAGUGGGAUUAGGUAGUUGGUGGGGUAAUGGCCUACCAAGCCGACGAUCUCUAGCUGGUCUGAGAGGAUGACCAGCCACACCGGGACUGAGACACGGCCCGGACUCCUACGGGAGGCAGCAGUGGGGAAUAUUGCGCAAUGGGGGCAACCCUGACGCAGCCAUGCCGCGUGAAUGAAGAAGGCCUUCGGGUUGUAAAGUUCUUUCGGUGACGAGGAAGGUUGUUGUGUUAAUAGCGCAACANAUUGACGUUAAUCACAGAAGAAGCACCGGCUAMCUCCGUGCCAGCAGCCGCGGUAWUACSGAGGGUGCRAGCGU